rnacentral:rRNA from 1 species
CCGGCACGGGUGAGUAACACGUAUGCAAUCCACCUGUAACAGGGGAGUAACCCGGAGAAAUCCGGACUAAUACCCAUAAUAUGGGCGCUCCGCAUGGAGAGUCCAUUAAAGAGAGCAAUCUUGGUUACAGACGAGCAUGCGCUCCAUUAGCCAGUUGGCGGGGUAACGGCCCACCAAGGCGACGAUGGAUAGGGGUUCUGAGAGGAAGGUCCCCCACAUUGGAACUGAGACACGGUCCAA